rnacentral:pre_miRNA from 7 species
UUCUUGGGGUUCGGGGUGCCCCCAAAAUCCCGGACGAGCCCCCACGAUGUAGAACCCCAAAUUUAGGGAUCCCGCUCUAAUCCAGGAACAGGGAACACCCACGAACACAAGAAUCC